GGCAGUGUAGUAUAGUGGUUAAGGAGUAGGACUCUUACUUAAAAGGUUGUCGGUUCGAUUCUCUCCUGUGACA